GCGGCUUUAGCUCACUUGGGAGAGCGCCAGACUGAAGUCCACUUCAGAUCAUUCAUUCAUUGAAAUCUGGAGGCACUGUGUUCGAUCCACAGAAGCCGCA
rnacentral:tRNA from 1 species